AGAGAGCCUCUCUAGUGUAAUGCAGACAUCUCUCAGAGUGUAUGUUCACUAAGUCUGGUAUGCACAUUGGUGGUUCUACUGUUGAGUUGGAAGAGAGAGCCUCUCUAGUGUAAUGCAGACAUCUCUCAGAGUGUAUGUUCACUAAGUCUGGUAUGCACAUUGGUGGUUCUACUGUUGAGUUGGAAGAGAGAGCCUCUCUAGUGUAAUGCAGACAUCUCUCAGAGUGUAUGUUCACUAAGUCUGGUAUGCACAUUGGUGGUUCUACUGUUGAGUUGGAAGAGAGAGCCUCUCUAGUGUAAUGCAGACAUCUCUCAGAGUGUAUGUUCACUAAGUCUGGUAUGCACAUUGGUGGUUCUACUGUUGAGUUGGAAGAGAGAGCCUCUCUAGUGUAAUGCAGACAUCUCUCAGAGUGUAUG